GGGGAAUCUUCCGCAAUGGACGAAAGUCUGACGGAGCAACGCCGCGUGAGUGAUGACGGCCUUCGGGUUGUAAAGCUCUGUUAAUCGGGACGAAAGGCCUUCUUGCGAACAGUUAGAAGGAUUGACGGUACCGGAAUAGAAAGCCACGGCUAACUACGUGCCAGCAGCCGCGGUAAUACGUAGGUGGCAAGCGUUGUCCGGAAUUAUUGGGCGUAAAGCGCGCGCAGGCGGAUUGGUCAGUCUGUCUUAAAAGUUCGGGGCUUAACCCCGUGAUGGGAUGGAAACUGCCAAUCUAGAGUAUCGGAGAGGAAAGUGGAAUUCCUAGUGUAGCGGUGAAAUGCGUAGAUAUUAGGAAGAACACCAGUGGCGAAGGCGACUUUCUGGACGAAAACUGACGCUGAGGCGCGAAAGCCAGGGGAGCGAACGGGAUUAGAUACCCCGGUAGUCCUGGCCGUAAACGAUGGGUACUAGGUGUAGGAGGUAUCGACCCCUUCUGUGCCGGAGUUAACGCAAUAAGUACCCCGCCUGGGGAGUACGACCGCAAGGUUG
rnacentral:rRNA from 1 species